rnacentral:rRNA from 1 species
UACGUAGGGUGCAGGCGUUAAUCGGAAUUAUUGGGCGUAAAGAGCUCGUAGGCGGUUUGUCGCGUCGAAUGUGAAAACCCGGGGCUCAACCCCGGGCCUGCAUUCGAUACGGGCAGACUAGAGUUCGGUAGGGGAGUCUGGAAUUCCUGGUGUAGCGGUGAAAUGCGCAGAUAUCAGGAGGAACACCGGUGGCGAAGGCGGGACUCUGGGCCGAUACUGACGCUGAGGAGCGAAAGCGUGGGGAGCAAACAGG